CUACACACUUAAUUAAACUCAUCAAGCCUUCCUCCCUCCCCCUCUGCUUCCCUGCCAAUAAGAGCAGUGGUGUGGGGCUGGGUGAGCCCCCUUCUCCGUCCCAGCCCACCCGACAGAGCCCACCCAGUGACGCCGGGGGACGCUCUGCAGCACACGAGGAAAGCAGGCAAGCCAUGUCUUUUCUCCAUGGCAGAAGGGCACCAGAUCUUCCUGUUAUGUGUUCUUCUUGCCCCAAUGGUGGGGACAUCACAGCCCUCGAGGACAUCGCUGCCCUUGGGGCCAUCAUUGCCCAGCCCAGGAUGGUGUCUGGGCUGCUCCCCCGGGAAAAGGCAGGAACAGGUCAGGAACCAGCAGAACCGGCUGUGUGCUGGGUUCCUGUCUGUGCAGACACGGCAGUCCUACGGCUCUCGCUGGGGUCUCCCCUGUUUCCAGUGCUGUCGAGCAGCUCUCAGAUCUGUGAUAAUUUAAUUAACCUGCCCUGUUCUGCCGCGGCUGUCGGAGCAGGGGAAAAGGAUCCAGGCACCCGGGGAGUUCCUUCUUUGCCUGAGCACAUACGUCUCCUACGCAAAAGUCACAGAAGAGCAAUUUCCCCACCAGGAAAGCUCAUUGUGGGUUUUUUUUAAAAACACAGAUCGUUUUCUUAGAUGUGUGUGUCAACUGCUCAGGGUAAGGAAAGAAGCAGUUUGUUGGAUGGAUGGGGUCCAGUCACGUCGGAGUUCUGCAGGAAGCUGGGGCUGGAGGCACUGAGUGUCCUUAGGUGGGAUUCCCACCUGGAAAACCGAGGGGUUUGCACAAGGGCAAAGGAACUUUGAGAGUUUAAAGGUAAGCUCUGACCCUGCCGCUUGUCAGGGUGACACCUCGUAGCUCUAAAAAUAGAGCAUCUUUGAUGGAGGGAGGGUAUUUUUGGAAAAGCUGGUUACUGCAGCCAACCUCACGUCCUCCCCACAGCCCCGGCUCACAGCCUUUCUGUCAUUUCCUUCUGCAUGUAAAUUUUACAAAGUGCCAAGAAAGAGCUGGCACCUGCCCUUGUGAAGCAGCCCCCACUAGGUGAGGGCAGCCCCCUCCUCCCCAUCCCCUCUGAUGGGGCAUCUGGUCCAUGGGCAUGUCUUAACUGACCCCCGGACUGUAAAGUAUGGCUGGGGACACCAAAAUCUGUCUUUUCCUCUGCCCGAGGGCUGGGGGACCCCUGGGGAGUGUGGGCACAGGGAUGCAGGAUGCUGCCAACGCCAGGGGAGCCCAUGGGGGGAUGUGAAUCGUUGUGUGUCCCCCCCCUCCUCCCAGCCAGCCCUGCACAGGGCUGAGGGGUGGCUUCGUUCUGGAAGCACACUAACGAGCUGCUUACAAUCAGGUAGUUGGGCUGGGAAGUGGUGGGAGCCCCAAGAGAUGCAAUUAGUCAUCACUUCACUCAAGGCGCUACAGAGGAGCCUGAUUUGAACCAUUAGAGGAAGCGGGUCCUGCGGGUGGCACACGUGCCGUGCAGCCAACAGAGGGGAAUGCCCCCGGCAGUUUAUUUACCAAAAUCAGUGCUCGAAACCCGCUCCGAGAGGGACUCUAAAUAGAGGGAAGUGGGUAGAAAUGAUGAACUCCAGCUCGGAGAGUGCAGGCACGUGAGGUGUAUUUUUC
rnacentral:lncRNA from 1 species